CCUACGGGCGGCAGCAGUGGGGAAUAUUGGACAAUGGGGGCAACCCUGAUCCAGCCAUGCCGCGUGUGUGAAGAAGGCCCUCGGGUUGUAAAGCACUUUCAGUGAGGAAGAACGCCUGGUGGUUAAUACCCAUCAGGAAAGACAUCACUCACAGAAGAAGCACCGGCUAACUCCGUGCCAGCAGCCGCGGUAAUACGGAGGGUGCGAGCGUUAAUCGGAAUUACUGGGCGUAAAGCGCGCGUAGGUGGCUUGAUAAGCCGGUUGUGAAAGCCCCGGGCUCAACCUGGGAACGGCAUCCGGAACUGUCAAGCUAGAGUGCAGGAGAGGAAGGUAGAAUUCCCGGUGUAGCGGUGAAAUGCGUAGAGAUCGGGAGGAAUACCAGUGGCGAAGGCGGCCUUCUGGACUGACACUGACACUGAGGUGCGAAAGCGUGGGUAGCAAACAGGAUUAGAUACCCUGGUGGUC
rnacentral:rRNA from 1 species